CAGCAGCCGCGGGAAUACGAAGGGGGCUAGCGUUGCUCGGAAUGACUGGGCGUAAAGGGCGCGUAGGCGGUUUGCCAAGUUAGAUGUGAAAUUCCCGGGCUUAACCUGGGGACUGCAUUUGAUACUGGCAGGCUUGAGUGUGGAAGAGGGUCGUGGAAUUCCCAGUGUAGAGGUGAAAUUCGUAGAUAUUGGGAAGAACACCGGUGGCGAAGGCGGCGACCUGGUCCAUAACUGACGCUGAGGCGCGAAAGCGUGGGGAGCAAACAGGAUUAGAUACCCCUGUAGUCCCUGUCUCUUAUAC
rnacentral:rRNA from 1 species